rnacentral:rRNA from 1 species
UACGUAGGCAGCGAGCGUUGUUCGGAGUUACUGGGCGUAAAGCGUGCGUAGGCGGUGUCUUAAGUUUGUUGUGAAAUCUCCCGGCUUAACCGGGAGGGUGCGGCGGAAACUGGAGUGCUUGAGGGUGGGAGAGGUAAGCGGAAUUCCUGGUGUAGCGGUGAAAUGCGCAGAUAUCAGGAAGAACACCCGUGGCGAAGGCGGUUCUCUGGGACGGUACUGACGCUGAGACGCGAAAGCGUGGGGAGCGAACAGG